AUGGUUACCCCAUCCACACCCCGGAAAUUGAGCCCCGUUCCGAGAUCCUUCCGGAAGGCCCCAAGGGGGAAUUAUGGCACAAAUUGGCGCCAACGCCUGUUCGCAGCCAUGCCGGUGGUUGGAAGAAGGUCCUUCGGUGGUAACUCCUUUCAGUGAGAGAGAAGGCCGAUAAGGUUAAAUACCCUUGUGAUGGCGUUACUCGCAGAUGACCCCCGGCUAAUUCGUCCAACCAGCCCCGGUAAUACGAAGGGUGCCAAGGCGUUAAUUCGGAAAUUAUGGGCGGUAAGGCCGCACGCAGUCGGUCUGUCAGGUCGAAUUGAAAAUCCCCGGGUUCACCCUGGAAUCUCCAUCCGAAACUGGCAGGUUAGAGUCUUGUGGAGGGGGGUAGAAUUUCCAGGUGUAGCGGUUGAAAUGCGUAGUGUUGUAGAGGACAUCCCGGGGGGGAGGGGGGCACCCUGGACAAUGACUGACGCUCAGGUGGAAAGCUUGGGGAGCAACCAGGAUUAGAUACCCUGGUAGUCCACGCUGUAAACGAUGUCGACUUGGAGGUUAUUCCUUGGAGGAGUGGCUUCGCGAGUUAACGCGUUAAGUCGCCCCCUUGGGGAGUACGGCCGCAAGGUUAAAACUCAAAUGAAUUGCCGGGGGCCGCCCCAAGCGGUGGACCAUGUGGUUUAAUUGGAGCCAACGCGAAGACCCUUACCUACUCUUGACAUCCAGGAACUUUAGCAGAGAUGAUUUGGUGCUUUCGGGAACUCUGAGCCAGGUGCUCCAGGGCGUUAUUAAGUUCGUGUUGGGAAAGGUUGGGUUAAUUCCCGCAACGAGGCCAACCCUUUUCUUUUGUUGCCAGCGGUUAGGCCGGGAACUCAAAGGAGACUGCCAGUGAUAAACUGGAGGAAGGUGGGGAUGACGUCAAGUCAUCAUGGCCCUUACGAGUAGGGCUACACACGUGCUACAAUGGCAUAUACAAAGGGAAGCCACCUCGCGAGAGCAAGCGGACCUCAUAAAGUAUGUCGUAGUCCGGAUCGCAGUCUGCAACUCGACUCCGUGAAGUCGGAAUCGCUAGUAAUCGUGGAUCAGAAUGCCACGGUGAAUACGUUCCCGGGCCUUGUGCACACCGCCCGUCACACCAUGGAGUGGGUUGCAACAGUUUCCUAGCUUAACCUUCGGGAGGGCGCUUACCACUUUGUGAUUCAUGACUGGGGGAAGUCGAAACCAAGACCCCAUGCCGU
rnacentral:rRNA from 2 species